AAUUUAGUUAAUUUCUCAGAAUACACCUUUACAUUUCUUCCAAAAAAUUGUUUACUACUGCCAUGCGUCGUUAGGUUACCGAAUCGCUCAAUAAUUUAUAUAAGAAACAACUGUUAACCAACAUAGAUAGUGUCAACUUUGUAAUGUAUACUUCAAUAAAUAUAGAUACAAGGUCACGGUGAGUUAAGGGGCGUGGUGGUCACACUAGUUGUUGACAAAACUCUAAUAUUAAGUCGCGCCUACCGCCGUAGGUGAACGGAUGGGUGACCAUAUUUGCGCUUCUUCGGUGGCGAAAAAGCACCAUGUAGCAGUGCAGAAGGCAACGGGAAACCACUGCACUUAAAUUUCCCCAAGAUAUACCAAUCCAAUUGGGCAACAACAAGGCAAGACUUUUAGUAAAAAAUUAAUAAACUAUAUAACAACUGACAACAUUGAAGACAAAUUAUACCAGGGAAAUCACACAUUUUAAACGUUUAAAGUGUACAAGAACUGUAAUCCAAACCGCACUACAUACAUGCCGGUGAAUUAAGCUCGUAUUAGUGUAUAUUUAUAUUGCAUAUCUUUCCCGCAUUCCAUACUCACAUUAUGUAUUAGAAUGCUUGUAAUUCAGUAUUUGUCUUGAAAAUGUUAUCAACCCAUUAAAAAUGUUUGUAAGAAAAUUACUAAAAU